rnacentral:rRNA from 1 species
UACGGAGGGUGCAAGCGUUUGUCCGGAUUUAUUGGGUUUAAAGGGUGCGUAGGUGGCCCUGCAAGUCCGUGGUGAAAGCCUGCCGCUUAACGGCAGAACUGCCAUGGAUACUACAGGGCUUGAGUCCAGACGAGGUUGGCGGAAUGGAUGGUGUAGCGGUGAAAAUGCAUAGAUAUCUGGAGGAACACCGGUGGCGAAGGCGACAUCCUGGACCGGUAUUGACGCUGAGGCGCGAAAAGCCAGGGG